GACGAACGCUGGCGGCGUGCUUAACACAUGCAAGUCGAACGAAGAGCGAUGGAAGCUUGCUUCUAUCAAUCUUAGUGGCGAACGGGUGAGUAACGCGUAAUCAACCUGCCCUUCAGAGGGGGACAACAGUUGGAAACGACUGCUAAUACCGCAUACGAUCUAAUCUCGGCAUCGAGGAUAGAUGAAAGGUGGCCUCUACAUGUAAGCUAUCACUGAAGGAGGGGAUUGCGUCUGAUUAGCUAGUUGGAGGGGUAACGGCCCAACAAGGCGAUGAUCAGUAGGCGGUCUGAGAGGAUGAACGGCCACAUUGGGACUGAGACAAGGCCCAGACUCCUACGGGAGGCAGCAGUGGGGAAUCUUCCGCAAUGGACGAAAGUCUGACGGAGCAACGCCGCGUGAGUGAUGACGGCCUUCGGGUUGUAAAGCUCUGUUAAUCGGGACGAAAGGCCUUCUUGCGAAUAGUGAGAAGGAUUGACGGUACCGGAAUAGAAAGCCACGGCUAACUACGUG
rnacentral:rRNA from 1 species